rnacentral:tRNA from 1 species
GUUCAAAUAUCUUAUAUAGAGUAUAAUAUUGAAGCUGUUAUUGAGGUAAAUUAUCUUUGAACA